rnacentral:rRNA from 1 species
UGCCCUAGUAACGGCGAGUGAAGCGGCAACAGCUCAAAUUUGAAAUCUGGCCUCCUUUGGGGGUCCGAGUUGUAAUUUGCAGAGGGUGCUUUGGCGUCGGCAGCGGUCUAAGUUCCUUGGAACAGGACAUCACAGAGGGUGAGAAUCCCGUACGUGGUCGCCUGCCUUCGCCGUGUAAAGCCCCUUCGACGAGUCGAGUUGUUUGGGAAUGCAGCUCUAAAUGGGAGGUAAAUUUCUUCUAAAGCUAAAUACCGGCCAGAGACCGAUAGCGCACAAGUAGAGUGAUCGAAAGAUGAAAAGCACUUUGGAAAGAGAGUCAAACAGCACGUGAAAUUGUUGAAAGGGAAGCGCUUGCAGCCAGACUUGCUCGCAGUUGCUCAUCCGGGUCCGCCCGGAGCACUCUUCUGCGAGCAGGCCAGCAUCAGUUUGGGCGACCGGAUAAAGGCCUCUGUCAUGUAUCUUCCUUCGGGAUGACCUUAUAGGGGAGGCGUAAUGCGGCCAGCCCGGACUGAGGUCCGCGCUUCUGCUAGGAUGCUGGCGUAAUGGCUGUAAGCGGCCCGUCUUGAAACACGGACCAAGGAGUCUAACAUCUAUGCGAGUGUUUGGGUGUCAAGCCCGGGCGCGUAAUGAAAGUGAACGGAGGUGGGAACCCUCUCGGGGGUGCACCAUCGACCGAUCCUGAUGUCUUCGGAUGGAUUUGAGUAAGAGCAUAGCUGUUGGGACCCGAAAGAUGGUGAACUAUGCUUGAAUAGGGUGAAGCCAGAGGAAACUCUGGUGGAGGCUCGCAGCGGUUCUGACGUGCAAAUCGAUCGUCAAAUUUGGGCAUAGGGGCGAAAGACUAAUCGAACUAUC